GCCUGAUGCAGCGACGCCGCGUGAGGGAUGACGGCCUUCGGGUUGUAAACCUCUUUCAGCAGGGACGAAGCGCAAGUGACGGUACCUGCAGAAGAAGCGCCGGCCAACUACGUGCCAGCAGCCGCGGUAAGACGUAGGGCGCGAGCGUUGUCCGGAUUUAUUGGGCGUAAAGAGCUCGUAGGCGGCUUGUCGCGUCGACUGUGAAAACCCGCGGCUCAACCGCGGGCCUGCAGUCGAUACGGGCAGGCUAGAGUUCGGUAGGGGAGACUGGAAUUCCUGGUGUAGCGGUGAAAUGCGCAGAUAUCAGGAGGAACACCGAUGGCGAAGGCAGGUCUCUGGGCCGAUACUGACGCUGAGGAGCGAAAGCGUGGGGAGCGAACAGGAUUAGAUACCCUGGUAGUCCACGCUGUAAACGUUGGGCGCUAGGUGUGGGGGACCUCUCCGGUUCUCUGUGCCGCAGCUAACGCAUUAAGCGCCCCGCCUGGGGAGUACGGCCGCAAGGCUAAAACUCAAAGGAAUUGACGGGGGCCCGCACAAGCGGCGGAGCAUGCGGAUUAAUUCGAUGCAACGCGAAGAACCUUACCUGGGUUUGACAUCGCCGGAAAACUCGUAGAGAUACGGGGUCCUUCGGGGCC
rnacentral:rRNA from 1 species